rnacentral:lncRNA from 1 species
GCGCACGCGCGCUACGUCCCUCAGACUGGCUGCCCCCGAGGGUUCGCGUGAGCGGAGCACGGGGCUCGGGGUGCGGGGGGCUGGUGUGAUGGACGCAUUUGUUCUUCGGUCCCUGACGAUUGUUUCUCAUUUGCCCUCCAAGCCCCAAAUCCUGUCAGUCCACGGCCUUGAUGGAGCGGCCCCCGUGGGACGACCCUGUUGAUUGUGCUAGCGGAUGUUGUCUCCAUUCUGGAUCUGGGAAAAACUGUGGAGUGAAAGCCGGACCUGUUAGGGUUGGGACCUGAAAGCGGACUUUUUCGCUCUCAGACGGGCCCCAGACGGGAGCUCUUUCAGGCCAG